rnacentral:rRNA from 1 species
UGGGGAAUAUUGGACAAUGGGCGCAAGCCUGAUCCAGCCAUGCCGCGUGAGUGAUGAAGGCCCUAGGGUUGUAAAGCUCUUUCACCGGUGAAGAUAAUGACGGUAACCGGAGAAGAAGCCCCGGCUACUUUCGUGCCAGCAGGCGCGGUAAUACGAAGGGGGCUAGCGUUGUUCGGAUUUACUGGGCGGAAAGCGAACGUAGGCGGAAUAUUAAGUCAGGGGUGAAAUCCCGGGGCUCAACCCCGGAACUGCCUUUGAUACUGGUAGUCUUGAGUUCGAGAGAGGUGAGGGGAAUUCCGAGUGUAGGGGUGAAAUUCGUAGAUAUUCGGAGGAACACCAGUGGCGAAGGCGGCUCACUGGCACGAUACUGACGCUGAGGUGCGAAAGCGUGGGGAGCAAACAGG